rnacentral:rRNA from 1 species
UACAGAGGGUGCAAGCGUUGUUCGGAAUUAUUGGGCGUAAAGCGCGUGUAGGCGGCCGUGCAAGUCGGGUGUGAAAGCCCUCGGCUCAACCGAGGAAGUGCGCCCGAAACUGCAUGGCUUGAGUACCGGAGAGGAUGGCGGAAUUCCCCAAGUAGAGGUGAAAUUCGUAGAUAUGGGAGGAACACCGGUGGCGAAGGCGACCGCCUGGACGAAGAUUGACGCUGAGGCGCGAGAGCGUGGGGAGCAAACAGG